rnacentral:rRNA from 1 species
ACUCCUACGGGAGGCAGCAGUAGGGAAUCUUCCACAAUGGGCGCAAGCCUGAUGGAGCAACACCGCGUGAGUGAAGAAGGGUUUCGGCUCGUAAAGCUCUGUUGUUAAAGAAGAACACGUAUGAGAGUAACUGUUCAUACGUUGACGGUAUUUAACCAGAAAGUCACGGCUAACUACGUGCCAGCAGCCGCGGUAAUACGUAGGUGGCAAGCGUUAUCCGGAUUUAUUGGGCGUAAAGAGAGUGCAGGCGGUUUUCUAAGUCUGAUGUGAAAGCCUUCGGCUUAACCGGAGAAGUGCAUCGGAAACUGGACAACUUGAGUGCAGAAGAGGGUAGUGGAACUCCAUGUGUAGCGGUGGAAUGCGUAGAUAUAUGGAAGAACACCAGUGGCGAAGGCGGCUACCUGGUCUGCAACUGACGCUGAGACUCGAAAGCAUGGGUAGCGAACAGGAUUAGAUACCCUGGUAGGAUAGCG